rnacentral:rRNA from 1 species
AUUGAACGCUGGCGGCAUGCCUUACACAUGCAAGUCGAACGGCAGCACGGGAGCAAUCCUGGUGGCGAGUGGCGAACGGGUGAGUAAUAUAUCGGAACGUGCCCAGUAGUGGGGGAUAGCCCGGCGAAAGCCGGAUUAAUACCGCAUGAGACCUGAGGGUGAAAGCGGGGGAUCGCAAGACCUCGCGCUAUUGGAGCGGCCGAUAUCAGAUUAGCUAGUUGGUGGGGUAAAGGCCUACCAAGGCAACGAUCUGUAGUUGGUCUGAGAGGACGACCAGCCACACUGGGACUGAGACACGGCCCAGACUCCUACGGAAGGCAGCAGUGGGGAAUUUUGGACAAUGGGCGCAAGCCUGAUCCAGCAAUGCCGCGUGCAGGAAGAAGGCCUCGG